CCUACGGGGGGCUGCAGUGAGGAAUAUUGCACAAUGGGGGAAACCCUGAUGCAGCAACGCCGCGUGGAGGAUGACGCAUUUCGGUGUGUAAACUCCUUUUAUAUGUCAAGAAAAUGACGGUAGCAUAUGAAUAAGCACCGGCUAACUCCGUGCCAGCAGCCGCGGUAAUACGGAGGGUGCAAGCGUUACUCGGAAUCACUGGGCGUAAAGGACGCGUAGGCGGGUUGUCAAGUCAGGUGUGAAAUCCUACAGCUUAACUGUAGAACUGCACUUGAAACUGGCAACCUAGAGUAUGGGAGGGGGAGAUGGAAUUAGUGGUGUAGGGGUAAAAUCCGUAGAUAUCACUAGGAAUAUCAAAAGCGAAGGCGAUCUCCUGGAACAUUACUGACGCUAAGGCGUGAAAGCGUGGGGAGCAAACAGGAUUAGAUACCCCAGUAGUC
rnacentral:rRNA from 1 species